CUAAAGCUGGAGGAGCUGAAGAUCACGCUAGAAAUAGACCGCUAGGAGCGUCAUUCUUCAACAAAUACACAGACCCCCCCUCCCCUCAUCAAUGGAUCCUCUUCGUUACUCUCCGAAAAUUUGCCGCUGACACCCCACACGACAGACCCCCCUAAAACCAGCGACCUCAAAACACCAGAAGCCAACAAGCUGGACCUUUUUCGCCUCAAUCGUGAGUCAUCUCUCCAAGAACACCAUAGCAUCAGUCAUCUUUCUAUACCACCCAGUUCGCCAGAGAACAAACAGAGAGAACGAUAGUGAGAGUGAGAGGACGAGGGUUUAAUCCUAUUUUCUAAUCUUGCCCUUUCUGAUUUUUUCUUUCUCGUUCAUAAAAACAGAAACAAAAAAAAUUCCUUUUCUUCUUUCUUAAAUCUGAAAAAUGCAUCUUAGUUUGUGAUUUUUGAUCUCCUCUCGUGGAGUUGAUUUGCAUUCGAGGAGGGUUUCUAAUUGAAUACUGUUGAUUUUGAGUGAGUUCGCUGAUUGGAGAUUGUCGUUGCCAAAUCGAGUUUCGUUGUUGGUUCGCGGUACCGUUCCGAUUCUGUUGCUGCUGUAUUAUUUGGCUUGUCGGAGUUUUUGCUUGUCAAUACAUUGAAGAAAGUUUAUUUGAAGGUCCGUUCUACUUGUUUCAUUGAGUUUUUGGAUUCGAGAUUUGCUCCUAUUAUGGAUGACUAAUUUGAUGCUUGGAUGGUUGUUAUUUCAAAUCUUCUUUAUUGUGUUCUCUUAACUGAUUCAUGAGGCUAAUUUGAGUAAGAUGAGCUAAAAUCAGUAGUAAUUUCUGGGAUUGCAUUCAAUUUUCGAACCAAGCUAUGUUGCGUUGAUUGAGCUUCCUGAAAUUUCGUUCACCCUUAACUUGAUCUCUUAGCUUGAAUAGUUUUAGUUUUUAUUAUAUUUCAAAUCUUAUUUCAGUUGAUCUCUGUAGCUAUUUUGUUUGUCAUGAUUCAUUAGUUAAAUUAGCACAUGUGUUGAAUAGUUUUGUCUAAUGUGAUCCUAAGAUUCUUGAAUGCAAAUUUGAAGAUGAAGUACAUGCUGUUGAUUGUUGAAAUAUGGACCAUUCUGAUGUCAGUUUUAUUUUGCCUCAUAUUUUGGAUUUAAUAACUCAUUCUGUAGUUGGCUUCUGUUUCUUUUUGUUUCAGUGGUAAUGUAAGUAUAGUUAAGUAUAUAUUCCCUUUUCUAUUAGGUCAAAUUUAUGCAAUAUUAUAUGGAUAUGGUUUGUUUAGGCAGGGACAUUGUUGAUGUAGUAGUCCCAAUUCUUGUGGCAUUUGGAGAAGAGCAACGUCUCUGGUUCUCGGUCUACGGAUGUUUCCAUUGUUUCUCUCCAACGUCGAAUUCUGCUUCUGCAAUGCUAACUCUAAUUCAUACGCAUCCAUCCAAAUUAUCUGAGCUUAUUGCUUUGUUCACCCAUUUUGCAUAGAGUUCAAUAAUCUCAAACUAGUCUCAGGAA
rnacentral:lncRNA from 1 species